UACGGAGGGUGCAAGCGUUAUCCGGAUUUACUGGGUUUAAAGGGUGCGUAGGCGGGUUGUUAAGUCAGUGGUGAAAGAUUCGAGCUCAACUCGAGAACUGCCAUUGAUACUGACGAUCUUGAAUAUAGUUGAGGUGGGCGGAAUGUGUCAUGUAGCGGUGAAAUGCUUAGAUAUGACACAGAACACCGAUUGCGAAGGCAGCUUGCUAAACUAUUAUUGACGCUGAGACGCGAAAGCGUGGGGAGCGAACAGG
rnacentral:rRNA from 1 species